rnacentral:rRNA from 1 species
AUUGAACGCUGGCGGCAAGCCUAACACAUGCAAGUCGAACGAGUGGCAGACGGGUGAGUAAUGUCUGGUACUCUGCCUGAUGGAGGGGGAUAACUCCUGGAACCGGUAGCCAAUACCACAUAACAUCCGAUGUUCCCAGAUGGGUUUAGCUAGUAGGUGGGGUAAAGGCUCACCUAGGCGACGAUCCCUAGCUGGUCUGAGCGGAUGACCAGCCACACUGGAACUGAGACACGGUCCAGACUCCUACGGGAGGCAGCAGUGGGGAAUAUUGCACAAUGGGCGCAAGCCUGAUGCAGCCAUGCCGCGUGUAUGAAGAAGGCCUUCGGGUUGUAAAGUACUUUCAGCGGGGAGGCGUUACCCGCAGAAGAAGCACCGGCUAACUCCGUGCCAGCAGCCGCGGUAAUAC